rnacentral:rRNA from 1 species
UACGUAGGGUGCAAGCGUUAAUCGGGAUUACUGGGCGUAAAGCGUGCGCAGGCGGUUAUGUAAGACAGGUGUGAAAUCCCCGGGCUUAACCUGGGAACUGCAUUUGUGACUGCAUGGCUAGAGUACGGUAGAGGGGGAUGGAAUUCCGCGUGUAGCAGUGAAAUGCGUAGAUAUGCGGAGGAACACCGAUGGCGAAGGCAAUCCCCUGGACCUGUACUGGCGCUCAUGCACGAAAGCGUGGGGAGCAAACAGG